GAUGAACGCUGGCGGCGUGCUUAACACAUGCAAGUCGAACGAAGCACUUUAUUUGAUUUCCUUCGGGACUGAUUAUUUUGUGACUGAGUGGCGGACGGGUGGGUAACGCGUGGGUAACCUGCCUUGUACAGGGGGAUAACAGUUGGAAACGGCUGCUAAUACCGCAUAAGCGCACAGCAUCGCAUGAUGCAGUGUGAAAAACUCCGGUGGUAUAAGAUGGACCCGCGUUGGAUUAGCUAGUUGGUGAGGUAACGGCCCACCAAGGCGACGAUCCAUAGCCGACCUGAGAGGGUGACCGGCCACAUUGGGACUGAGACACGGCCCAAACUCCUACGGGAGGCAGCAGUGGGGAAUAUUGCACAAUGGGCGAAAGCCUGAUGCAGCGACGCCGCGUGAGCGAAGAAGUAUUUCGGUAUGUAAAGCUCUAUCAGCAGGGAAGAUAAUGACGGUACCUGACGAAGAAGCACCGGCUAAAUACGUG
rnacentral:rRNA from 1 species